rnacentral:rRNA from 1 species
UACAGAGGUCUCAAGCGUUUGUUCGGAUUCAUUGGGCGUAAAGGGUGCGUAGGCGGCGCGGUAAGUCGGGUGUGAAAUCUCGGAGCUUAACUCCGAAACUGCAUUCGAUACUGCCGUGCUUGAGGACUGGAGAGGAGACUGGAAUUUACGGUGUAGCGGUGAAAUGCGUAGAUAAUCGUAAGGAAGACCAGUGGCGAAAGGCGGGUCUCUGGACAGUUCCUGACGUGAUGCACGAAGGUCAGGGGAGCAAACGGG